AGUGGAUGGGGAACAACCUAGUUGUGCGUGUGUAAAGGUAGUGCCAAGAAGAGCGGUGAUCAUGAUGAAAAUCAAUUCCCGGUACCCGAAACCGACACAGGUGGGCAAGUAGAGAAUACUAAGGGGCGCGAGGUAACUCUCUCCAAGGAACUCGGCAAAAUGACCCCGUAACCUAGGGAGAAGGGGUGCCACCGAGAGGUGGUCGCAGUGAAGAGGCCCAGGCGACUGUUUAGCAAAAACAUAGGUCUCUGCAAACUCGAAAGAGGAGGUAUAGGGGCUGACGCCUGCCCAGUGCCGGAAGGUUAAAGAAGUUGGUCAGUCUUAGGAUGAAGCUAGCGACUGAAGCCCCGGUGAACGGCGGCCGUAACUAUAACGGUCCUAAGGUAGCGAAAUUCCUUGUCGGGUAAGUUCCGACCCGCACGAAAGGCGUAACGAUCUGGGCGCUGUCUCGGAGAGAGGCUCGGCGAAAUAGGAUUGUCUGUGAAGAUACGGACUACCUGCAUUUGGACAGAAAGACCCUAUGAAGCUUUACUAUAGCUUGGAAUUGUGUUCGGGCUUCCUGUGCGCAGGAUAGGUGGGAGGCGUAGAAGGUAUUCUUGUGGGGAUACUGGAGGCAACGGUGAGAUACCACUCUCAGGAGGCUAGAAUUCUAACUUAAUUAAGGACAGUUUCAGGUGGGUAGUUUGACUGGGGCGGUCGCCUCCAAAAAGGUAACGGAGGCGUACAAAGGUUCCCUCAGACUGGUUGGAAAUCAGUCGCAGAGUGCAAAGGCAGAAGGGAGCUUGACUGCGAGAAGUACAGUUCGAGCAGGGUGGAAACACGGUCUUAGUGAUCCGACGGUGCUGUGUGGAAGGGCCGUCGCUCAACGGAUAAAAGUUACUCUAGGAUAACAGGCUGAUCUCCCCCAAGAGUUCACAUCGACGGGGAGGUUUGGCACCUCGAUGUCGGCUCAUCGCAACCUGGGGCGGAAGUACGUCCCAAGGGUUGGGCUGUUCGCCCAUUAAAGCGGUACGUGAGCUGGGUUCAGAACGUCGUGAGACAGUUCGGUCCAUAUCCGAUGUAGGCGUGAGAAUAUUGAGAGGAGCCUUCCUUAGUACGAGAGGACCGGGAAGGACGCACCGCUGGUGUACCUGUUAUGAUGCCAAUUGUAAACGCAGGGUAGCCAAGUGCGGAGAGGACAACCGCUGAAAGCAUCUAAGUGGGAAGCCCACCUCAAGAUGAGUAUUCUGGUGUAAGGUCACGGGAAGACGACCCGUAAAUAGGCACGAGGUGGAAGUGCAGAGAUGUAUGAAGCCGAAGUGUACUAAUAGACCGUCGGCUUGACCG
rnacentral:rRNA from 1 species